UGAGUGCGAGCUGCUACGGCAGCGAAGUUGGUGAUGUCAUGCUUCCAAAAAGCCCUAUACCCGUUAAGGCAUCAUGGCCUGUACCCGAAACCGACACAGGUGGGGUGGUAGAGAAUACCGAGGGGCGCGAGGUAACUCUCUCUAAGGAACUCGGCAAAAUGGCCCCGUAACUUCGGGAGAAGGGGUGCCACCGCAAGGUGGUCGCAGUGAAGAGGCCCAGGCGACUGUUUACCAAAAACACAGGUCCCCGCUAAGUCGCAAGACGAUGUAUGGGGGCUGACGCCUGCCCAGUGCCGGAAGGUUAAGGAAGCUGGUCAGCGCAAGCGAAGCUAGCGACUGAAGCCCCGGUGAACGGCGGCCGUAACAAUAACGGUCCUAAGGUAGCGAAAUUCCUUGUCGGGUAAGUUCCGACCCGCACGAAAGGCGUAACGAUCUGGGCGCUGUCUCGGAGAGAGGCUCGGCGAAAUAGAAUUGUCUGUGAAGAUGCGGACUACGUGCACCCGGACAGAAAGACCCUAUGAAGCUUUACUGUAGCUUGGUAUUGUGCCCGGGCUCGCAAUGCGCAGGAUAGGUGGGAGGCUUUGAUCAUCGGCUUGCGGGUCGAUGUGAGCCAACGGUGAGAUACCACUUUUUGCGAGCUAGGGUUCUAACGGCCACCCGUCAUCCGGGGGCCGGACAGUACCUGGUGGGCAGUUUGACUGGGGCGGUCGCCUCCUAAAAGGUAACGGAGGCGCGCAAAGGUUUGCUCAGGCUGGUUGGAAAUCAGCCGACGAGUGUAAAAGCAGAAGCAAGCUUGACUGUGAGACCAACAAGUCGAACAGGGAGGAAACUCGGCUUUAGUGAUCCGACGGUUCUGAGUGGAAGGGCCGUCGCUCAACGGAUAAAAGUUACUCUAGGAUAACAGGCUGAUCUCCCCCAAGAGUUCACAUCGACGGGGAGGUUUGGCACCUCGAUGUCGGCUCAUCGCAACCUGGGGCUGAAGUCGGUCCCAAGGGUUGGGCUGUUCGCCCAUUAAAGCGGUACGCGAGCUGGGUUCAGAACGUCGUGAGACAGUUCGGUCCAUAUCCGGUGCACGCGCAGGAAUAUUGAGAGGAUUUCUCCCUAGUACGAGAGGACCGGGAGGAACGCACCUCUGGUGUACCAGUUAUCGUGCCAACGGUAAACGCUGGGUAGCCAUGUGCGGAGUGGAUAACCGCUGAAAGCAUCUAAGUGGGAAGCCCACCUCAAGAUGAGUAUUCCCAUGGCGUAAGCCAGUAAGGUCACGGGAAGAACACCCGUCGAUAGGCUCUAUGUGGAAGCGCAGUAAUGCGUGAAGCAGAGGAGUACUAAUAGACCGAGGGCCUGACC
rnacentral:rRNA from 1 species